GGGGAAUUAGCUCAAUGGUCAGAGCAAUAGACUGUUAAUCUAAAGGUUAUAGGUUCGAGUCCUAUAUUUCCCG
rnacentral:tRNA from 1 species